rnacentral:rRNA from 1 species
AGAGUUUGAUCCUGGCUCAGGACGAACGCUGACGGUGUGCUUUAGGCAUGCAAGUCGAACGAGAAAGCCCUUCGGGGUGAGUAAAGUGGCGAACGGGUGAGUAACACGUGGGCAACCUGCCCCUCGCAGGGGGACAACCGGAGGAAACUCCGGCUAAUACCCCGUACGCUUGUUGGAUCGCAUGGUCCGGCAAGGAAAGGUAGCUUCGGCCAUCCGGCGAGGGAUGGGCCCGCGUUGCAUUAGCUAGUUGGUGGGGUAACGGCCUACCAAGGCGACGAUGCGUAGCUGGUCUGAGAGGAUGAUCAGCCACACUGGGACUGAGACACGGCCCAGACUCCUACGGGAGGCAGCAGCCAGGAAUCUUGGGCAAUGGGCGAAAGCCUGACCCAGCAACACCGUGUGGGCGAUGAAGGCCUUAGGGUCGUAAAGCCCUGUUGAUAGGGACGAAGGGCGAAGGGUUAAUAGCCCCUAGCUUGACGGUACCUUUCGAGGAAGCCCCGGCUAACUACGUGCCAGCAGCCGCGGUAAUACGUAGGGGGCGAGCGUUGUCCGGAAUUAUUGGGCGUAAAGAGCGUGUAGGCGGUUCGGUAAGUCUGCUGUGAAAUCCUGGGGCUCAACCCUGGGCGUGCAGCGGAUACUGCCGGGCUAGAGGGUGGUAGAGGCGAGUGGAAUUCCGAGUGUAGCGGUGAAAUGCGCAGAUAUUCGGAGGAACACCAGUAGCGAAGGCGGCUCGCUGGGCCACACCUGACGCUGAGACGCGAAAGCGUGGGGAGCAAACAGGAUUAGAUACCCCGGUAGUCC